rnacentral:rRNA from 1 species
AGAGUUUGAUCAUGGCUCAGAACGAACGCUGGCGGCGUGCUUAACACAUGCAAGUCGAACGAGAAAGUUUCCUUCGGGAAACGAGUAGAGUGGCGCACGGGUGAGUAACGCGUAGGUAAUCUACCCUAAUAUUUGGGAUAACAUUGGGAAACUGGUGCUAAUACCGAAUACCCUUCUUUUCUGCCGGGUUAAGGAGGAAAGGUGGCCUCUUCAUGAAAGCUACCGUAUAAGGAUGAGCCUGCGUACCAUUAGCUAGUAGGUGGGGUAAAGGCCCACCUAGGCUACGAUGGUUAGCGGGUCUGAGAGGAUGAUCCGCCACACUGGAACUGGAACACGGACCAGACUCCUACGGGAGGCAGCAGUGAGGAAUAUUGCGCAAUGGGGGAAACCCUGACGCAGCGACGCCGCGUGAGUGAGGAAGGUUUUCGGAUCGUAAAGCUCUGUCAGGAGGGAAGAAGUGUUAUACAGUUAAUACCUGUAUAAUUUGACGGUACCUUCAGAGGAAGCACCGGCUAACUCCGUGCCAGCAGCCGCGGUAAUACGGAGGGUGCAAGCGUUGUUCGGAAUUACUGGGCGUAAAGGGCGCGUAGGCGGCCUGAUAAGUCAGAUGUGAAAGUCCACGGCUCAACCCGUGGAAGUGCAUUUGAAACUGUCAGGCUUGAGUAUCGNAGGGGAGUGUGGAAUUCCCGGUGUAGAGGUGAAAUUCGUAGAGNUCGGGAGGAACACCGGUGGCGAANGCNACACUCUGGACGAAUACNGACGCUGAGGNNCNAAAGCGUGGGGAGCAAACAGGANUAGAUACCCUGGUAGUCCANGCCGUNNCGAUGUGACUAGGGAUAGGGGUGNUGAUNCCUC